GGAGCAGCGGUGGGGAGGAAAGGGACGUUUUAGAUGUGAGAGGAGGCGGUAACGUAGAAGUCAUCUCUGCGAGCGUGAAAGGAAGGAGUGCGCGGCUGAGCCGGAUGCGUUCGGAUUUUGCUUUUACCAGGAGAAAAGUCUGAUCCACGGUUCUGCUGACCGCCUGCGACAGUGUAAAGAGGCGCGGAGCCCCUGGUUUCAGCACUGCGUGGCCUGCGGCUUACUUUUGGGAUACUUAUCAAGGGUCUACUGUGUGCCAGGCACUAUAUCUGUGUGCAUAGAAAACCCCUGGAGCUCAUGCUCCAAUAUAUAUGUACAGUGAUCAUCUCUGCUUGCUGAGAUAACAGGAGUGUCAACCUGAUAUUUUUGCUGCUAUCCACUUGUAAAUACACUCAGAAAAAGAGAAUUUGGACCCAGUUUUUGACGACAGGUAGUUUCUAAACAUGAUGCAUUUCAAAAGUGGACUCGAAUUAACUGAGUUGCAAAACAUGACGGUACCCGAAGAUGAUAACAUUAGCAAUGAUUCCAAUGAUUUCACUGAAGUAGAGAAUGGUCAGAUAAACAGCAAGUUUAUUUCUGAUCGUGAAAGUAGAAGAAGUCUCACGAACAGCCACUUGGAAAAAAAGAAAUGUGAUGACUAUAUUCCAGGAACGACCUCCUUGGGCAUGUCUGUUUUUAACCUAAGCAACGCCAUUAUGGGCAGUGGGAUUUUAGGACUCGCCUUUGCCCUGGCAAACACUGGAAUCCUACUUUUUCUGGUACUUUUGACUUCAGUAACACUGCUGUCUAUAUAUUCAAUCAACCUGCUGUUGAUCUGUUCAAAGGAAACAGGCUGCAUGGUUUAUGAAAAGCUGGGAGAACAGGUCUUUGGCACCACAGGGAAACUCGUCAUCUUUGGAGCCACCUCCCUACAGAACACUGGAGCAAUGCUGAGCUACCUCUUCAUAGUAAAAAAUGAGCUACCUUCUGCCAUAAAGUUUCUAAUGGGAAAGGAAGAGGAAUUUUCAGCCUGGUACGUGGAUGGCCGCCUUCUGGUGGUGGUAGUUACCUUUGGCAUAAUUCUCCCUCUGUGUCUCUUGAAGAACUUAGGUUAUCUUGGCUAUACUAGUGGAUUUUCCUUGAGCUGUAUGGUUUUUUUCCUAAUUGUGGUUAUCUACAAGAAAUUUCAAAUUCCCUGUUUUGUUCCAGAGCUAAAUUCAACAAGUCCUAAUUCAACAAAUGCGGACAUGUGUACGCCAAAAUAUGUUACCUUCAAUUCAAAGACCGUGUAUGCUUUACCAACAAUUGCAUUCGCUUUCGUCUGCCACCCGUCGGUCCUGCCAAUUUACAGUGAGCUUAAAGAUCGAUCACAGAAAAAGAUGCAGAUGGUUUCAAAUAUCUCCUUUUUCGCCAUGUUUGUUAUGUAUUUCUUGACUGCCAUUUUUGGCUACUUGACAUUCUAUGAAAGAGUGCAGCCCGACCUCCUCCACAAGUAUCAGAGUAAGGACGACCUCCUUAUCCUGACGGUACGGCUGGCAGUCAUCGUGGCCGUCAUCCUCACCGUGCCCGUGUUAUUUUUCACGGUUCGAUCUUCCUUAUUUGAACUGGCUAAGAAAACAAAGUUUAAUUUAUGUCGUCAUGUCUUGGUGACCUUCAUACUCCUGGUUAUUAUCAACUUGUUGGUGAUCUUCAUACCCUCCAUGAAGGAUAUUUUUGGAGUCGUUGGCGUUACAUCUGCCAAUAUGCUUAUUUUCAUUCUUCCUUCAUCUCUUUAUUUAAAAAUCACAAGUCAAGAUGGAGAUAAGGGAACUCAACGAAUUUGGGCUGCCCUUUUCUUGGGUCUGGGGGUGUUGUUUUCCCUGGUAAGCAUUCCCUUGGUCAUCUACGACUGGGCCUACUCAUCAAAUGGCCACUGAGACCAGCUGAGAAAAAGAAGCAGUCAAGUUACCGUGCAUCAGCAACCCUUCAUCACUUCCUCUGCAAGUUUACAGAAGCAAACAGGAAUUUACAAGAUACACAAUGAAAUAAUACUUUGGUAGCAAAACAAGAGACCUGUUUCUUUCAUGGUUCAUGCCCCUCCAGGAUUGGGGAUCAAUUUUAAGGAUUGUGGAUUUUUUUGGUUCCAAAUUUCAUGCAAAAUCAUAUUUUCCAGUACUUUUCACAGUUGAUUGUUUUUCACUCUACUAUUUUUUGUGAUUUCAUCGUCUCUUAGAACUUUGAAGACAUGAUCACCCAUCGUGUUUAUUUAUUGUACAUCCAGAUUCUGAAAUAAUUUUCCUACUGAUGUUCAGCUUAUAAUAUCUGUACCUUUUUAGCAGAGAAAAGAAUCUUGAAUUGUAUAUAUUUAUUUUGCUUUACAGAAAAAAAUGGUUUCGUAAAUAAUUUGCCUAUUUUGGUUAAUAUAGCACAUAGGGAUAAUCAGAUGAGAGUCACAGGGCACAUACCCUUGUUGGAUCAGAGAAUGCCCAAUAUUUGAGGCAGCUCUGAUCACCUGGCAGGCGAGCUUCAGCAGCUCGUGGCCUUCCUGGCAUUCCAUCCACUCUGUGCAGAGACCUUCUCUGGCGAGUGUUCUCGGCUCAGAAAGGGGUGGGAAUGAUUCUUACCUUGGUAAAUAUACUGAACUACACAUCUGGGUUAUCUAGCAAAUGAAGUUUUGUUUCCCUCUUUGUGUCAAAGUUACUCUACAUAAUCUGAGUCAGCUUUUGUUGGGAAAGACCCACAACACCUUUAUAACAAAUUGAGAAGCAAGAGUCCUACGAAAAGAUUGUCCAGAAUGCAUGAGGAAAUAUUUUUCAGAUGCAGAUAGCCUUCAGCCCUACAUCUGUAUUGUUGAAGGGGGAAAAACAUUUUCUUAAAUUAUAAACCCAGCAGCUUCUACUCAUGUCCAUGAGCUUUUUGCACAGAAAAUCAUGUGUUUCUAACCAAGGGUGAUCUAGGGAAAGUAAGUCCUGUUUUAUAUUAGGUACUUUAGGGGGGGUCUUUAAAAGAUUUGUUUUAUAUCUAUGAAAGUGAAAGUGUUAGUUGCAAAGAGGUGAACACAACUGAGCGACUAACACUUUGUAUCUAUAAAUUUAGGUUAUUGCAAAUACAAGAUUUUUGUACAUUAAAUAAGCCUCAUUCCUAUUUCUUCUCCACUAGCCAUCCAUCCAGUCUUGAAAAAAGAGAAAGAGCCUUCAGAGGUGAUUUUGAGGACAGCGUGUGAUGAAAGCACGGUGUACCCUUCUUCCCCAAGAUGGGGACUUUGGUGUCAGUGCUGUCCCUCUCCUCAUCCCCGGUCAAGGGUGGGCCGUCACUGCCCACCUGAUGUGACCCACAUCGGGACAGAGUCGCUGACACUCUUACCCCAGCCCCUCUCCUAAAAGCAAGUGAAGGAAAUUCCGGAGAGAUUGAAAAAGAAGAGAAGUUCAGGGCACGGUAGCUUGAAAAGGCAUUGGGGACAGGAUAGGAACCCAGCACCACAUCCCGCCUACGCUGGACCAUCACCUGUGCUUGGAUUGUCUGUAUCACACAAUGAGAAGCAUGUGUACCCUCUGACCUAGUCUCUUGAAACAGGGCUUGUGUUAUAUCUACAUCCUGGUUGAACUCAACAAACACGUCAGUUCACUGAACAGAUAUCUUAUCCAGAGAUAAGUAGCCUCUAACCACAGACUCUUGGCAGAGUUUCGAGGCACUUAACUCUGGGCUCUGUUCCUCCCGCACUGAGAUCCCCGGAGGCCUCCACACUUACCGGGAGUAACACGGAACUGUCUCCUCCCCUUGACAGACUAACAUCCCAUACAGAAAGCAAGCAUCAAGAUCAUUCCUGAUCCUCUUGGGGGAAAAGGAAAGUUUAUUUUCUGCCUGUCUUAGUAGUAUCAUCAUAGCUUCUAAUGUCAUGCUCCAGAAUUAUAUCCACAGACAUCAGAGUUCAGGUAUUUAGAAAUGAGUACCUACCUAUGUAUGAAUUCCUAACCCAGUGAAACCCACAGCCAUUUCUGUCCUUCUCAGCAGUCUUUCAUAGAUAAGCAGAAGAGAAACUCAACCAAACAAGAUGCCUGGCCCUUGGAGCUUGGCUGGGGCACCCAAUCAUGUAAUAGCUAGCUAGUGGAUGACCCUCCAUUAAAAAAAUACAAAUUUUAUUUGCAAGCUUUAUUAGGCUACUUCCUGUUUUCUUCAUUAACUUAUAAAAAUUCACUUUCUGCCUAUACAGUCAGUUUAGAAGAUUAUCAUUAGGUCUUGGGAUGUGUAGUGAUAUUUUUGGAUCUCUGGAUUUUAUGUGUCAGAACAGGGGAUUUUUUUUUUAUUAUUUAAAAUAUGCUUAUUUAGAGGAGGCUUGGGAUGUGUAGUGAUAUUUUUGGGUCUCUGGAUUUUAUGCAUCAGAACGGGAUUUUUUUUUUUAUUAUUUAAAAUAUGCUUAUUUACAGGAGGCACUUGUUGACGUCUGCACUACUACAGGUUUUUAAAAUCUUCUUUGUAUGUUUAUUUAAGUUUAUUGUUGACUGAAUAUAAUAGACCCUAGUGUAAUUUGUCAGAUGUCAGUGAUUAAUUUCAUCAUCUGUGUGGGAUUAGCUGUAAAGUGUGCUGUUCUUAUUAUUCUUGUUCAGAGUAGUGAACCCAUAGCCAAAAAUACAUGUACCACAGAUGUUAGGUAGAAUUUAAAUCACACAGUCAAGUGCUGUAGAGGUUUUUCUGCUAUGUGAGUAGACUAAGGAGUUUUAUACCUUAGGCCUUUGGGAGCAGCACAUUUUCCUUGGGUAGAUAGGACCUCAGCACCAGUGAACAGCGCUAGGUUCACACUUUGGGGUAUGACCUGUUCUCUAGUUGUAAUAACAUAUUAUACUGUAAAUCCCUAAUUUCCUUCAUGUUACUUAUUGGAAGUGAGGACAGCAGCAUAUGUACAGGGAAGAAAUGCAGUCUUGUUAAUCAUAGGCAGUCCCCAGUUUAUAAGCUAGUGCAGAACCCCAACUUAUAGGCAGAGUGUAGUGUAGAAUUGUCCGUUGGUUGUUUGCAACCUGGAAUGUAUUUUCCUUCCGAAACCAAGUUACACAUGAUGGUUAGGCCCCCAGGCCACCUAGAAAAGAUGAUCUAAACUCAUUGUUUAGCUGAAACAGGAUACUGUAUUAGCAAGAUUGCUAAGGAAUCUAAGCAAUGAAUCUGAUUUUGCUCCUAGCAGAUGUUUGUUCAGAGUUGCUGAGAAUCCGUCCCUCGUGCUGUUAGUGGAAUCUGGAUCAACCGUUCCAACCUCACACUGCCUGUUGGGUGGUGGCACCAGAGUAAGCCACCAAUUAGAAGUGCCCAGAGUGGCCUACAGCUGGGUCCCCAGCAAAGGAAGGGGACCAGGUCCAGGGCAACCAGAGACCUCAUAGGAAGAGGAGGGUUAAGGAGGAUGAGGGGUCCUCUGGUGGGCCGUACAUCACCAGGGACAUUCUCCGCUGCUACCCUUCUUUUCUCUGGAGGCUCAGGCCUGGCCUGCCUGCUUCUGUUUGUAGGACCUUUUGCUCCUGGAGUUUAUCUCCUUCACUCCCAGUACCAUAAAUGAUGUCACUGCGUAACUUCUCUUGCAUGCCAGUAGCUGAAGCCAGCACACAGCACUUUUAAUGGAUUUAGUGCUAGGAAACCAUAGUUUAACUGCCCAGUAGUCAAAGAGGGGUAAAAACCUCUCUACCCACUUUUCCUCUCAUAUUUGCAGAUCCUGUUGAGAAAGACAUACAUGGGUGAUGGCCAUGGGGCUUGGGGUGGACUAAUGGCUGUGAUAAGGUGUCAUAGUAUUUCAGAGGACACCUCAGACAGUCACCCCAGACUUCGCUUUUUUCUAGAGUUGGAUUCAAGCCUCCAAGUCAGUGUUCCUCUAAGUGGGGAUCCCCAGAUCAGCAGCAUCAGCAUCACCUGGGAACUCAAUGGGAUGCACAUACUCAGGCCUCAGUCCAGACCAAAUAAGAUCAGAAACUAUGAGGGUGGAGGUCCAGCAAACUGUGCCCAGUGAUCUUGGCACAGGUCAAGUUAGAGACCCACAUGGAGCAAAUUCGUCUCUCCUUUUUCUCCCCAUUAGUCCUAUCUGUCAUUCUCAGAUGGUGAUUCCUGGGACUUGAGGGAAAAGAAGUGGGAGCCAGGACUUAGGGAGGGGAGGAAUGCAGCCCCCUUCCCACUGGAAAUGCUGGUACAGGUGCAUCAUUGCAAAUAAGGCUGCCUGCACAUGGCCUGAGACACAGUAAGGUUUCGGUUUUGGCAGCUGUGAAGAAAUGAAAAUGAGGUGUUUUAGGUGUUUUUUUUUUUUCUUUUUUUCUUUUUUGAAAGCAAUUAAAAGAUAUACCCUUUGUUAGAGGAAAUACUGAAUUUAGGUCAGAAGUUUCUCUAGAAUGUUUGGGUUCAUCAUGUGAUGAUCAACCCUGUCCUCCCUUUAAAGGGAGUUCUCUGCUGAAAGGGGCUACAGACUGCUUUGACAAGGUUAGCGCUCCACUUGUGUUUCAGCGGGUCAGAGUGCUGGACAGCACAUCUUGUUGGGUCGGGGGUGGGGAGGAGAUUGAUGAAAUGAUCAGGUAUUUGAUUUUAUGCCUUUAGUGCAAAAGCCAUCAGUUUCCCUCUGUUUUUCAAUGUAAGUUGGCUUGAGGCUUAGGAUGUAAACCUUAAGAAUAUGAUUCCUCCAUUCCAGUUCAUGGUAAACUACCCACUUUCAAAAUAAAGAUUGAGAUUAUAUCGUUUAAGGAUGUUAAUGUUUUCCUUAGGGAUGGCAAAUCUAAGAAUCUGUUAGCAACAGAACACCAUUCCUCUAAAAUACAGUGAAUUAUUUAUAAUGAUCCAAGGUUUUCAGAUGAAAAAUUGGGGAUGGGGUGGCUGACAACUGAAAAAUACCACUAAAUCUUAAAGGGAAAGUUCUUGAAAAGCAUGUAAAAUUCACAGGGCUCAGACCUCUUUCUUUAGAGUUUUCUGUAAGGAAGAACUGUGAAACUGGGCCCAUGUGCAUACAGGCUUGAAUUUGUGUUUUUAAAAGGAAGAAUCUAUGCAGUUGAGGCUUAUUGUAGGAAAUACUUCAUUUGUAUGUAAAGACAUUGUAAAUAAAUAGGAGGCUGUAUAUUUUUGAAGUUGUUGAUCCACAUUGAAAUAGAAGUCACUAGUAUCUGCAUAUCAAGAAUAAAUGUCUUCAUUAAUAUUAGUGGUUUUGUUUGGCAAUUAGAAAAAUUUACAUUCUCUCCCAGGUAACAUAGUUCUCUUAAUGUAAACUUGGAACCUACAAAUCUUACUUGUUUAGAGAGAGAAAUGUCUGAGAAAUGUCACGUUGAUUUCUUAUACUGGUAUUAAGAUUAAUUAUUUCAAAGCUAGUUCUCUGAGCUACAAAUAAGAAGAAACAUUUUAGACCCAAAUUAUUGCUGUAUAGAAAUAGAAUACCCAAAAUAAUGAGUUGUUUCUUCGCAACACUGUUCCAGCGUUAACACUGAUACUACUACACAGUAUUUAUGAAAACAGAAGUUGGGGAAGAGGAAUUUUUUUUUUUUUUCCAAAAUUGAAUUUCUGUUUCCCAAACUAUGGUCUCUUUGAAAGGGAAAGACCUGAAUCUUAGACCUGAAUAUUAACUGUGAGCACAAAUAUGAAAGAAAGAAAGAAAGAAAAAGGAACUAUUAUUUUAUCAAACUUUUGACAGUCUUGCAUGUUUCCCUUUUCAGUGUCCACGCCAACAUAGGAGGUCUUAAGUAAUUUUUGCCCCCAAAACACUUGAAUCUUGAUCACUGGUAUGUAAUCUGCUCUCUAGAGUUCAGUGUAUUCUAGACUUCAUCUACCUAUAGCACACCACUGAUUUACUAAUGUAAAACCUUGUCAAUGAUUUCAGAUGGAUGAUUUAAGUGAGUCACCCGUCACAAAACUUUGUCAUUCAUGGUUGAUUAAACACAUAGUUUUUUUCCCCCCACCCCAGGAUGUGGUGUAAAUAAAGACAUGUAAGAAGUUCUAUUGUAUAAUUGCUCUGUUAACAUAGUUUUUAAACAUUAAAAUGUGGAAUAAAGCA